AAGGGAAUCUUCCGCAAUGGACGAAAGUCUGACGGAGCAACGCCGCGUGAACGAUGAAGGUCUUCGGAUCGUAAAGUUCUGUUGCAGGGGAAGAUAAUGACGGUACCCUGUGAGGAAGCCCCGGCUAACUACGUGCCAGCAGCCGCGGUAAUACGUAGGGGGCUAGCGUUAUCCGGAUUUACUGGGCGUAAAGGGUGCGUAGGUGGUCUUUCAAGUCGGUGGUUAAAGGCUACGGCUCAACCGUAGUUAGCCUCCGAAACUGGAAGACUUGAGUGCAGGAGAGGAAAGUGGAAUUCCCAGUGUAGCGGUGAAAUGCGUAGAUAUUGGGAGGAACACCAGUAGCGAAGGCGGCUUUCUGGACUGCAACUGACACUGAGGCACGAAAGCGUGGGUAGCAAACAGG
rnacentral:rRNA from 1 species